rnacentral:lncRNA from 1 species
GCCGGCUGUGUCGCUGCCUCGCCUCCCAUCUGCAGCUUUCUCAGUCCUCACUGCAGGUGUGAGGGGACACCGUGGCUCCCAGGAGCUGAUGCUUAGCACAUGGCUCAGUGGAGAUGGCCCGUGAUGGGAGAAGGGCUCUCUGGGCACCGGGGGCAGGACUGCAGCCAGGCCUAGAACUGGGCGGGACGGCGGCCUGGGAGACACGCGUGUCUCUCUAUUUCUGUCUCUGUCUCUUUGUAUCUCUCUGUCUCUGUCUCUUUCUUUCUCUGCAUUUCUCUCUCCGGGUCUUUCCCUUGUUCUCUCUGUCUCACUCUGAUUCUGUCUCUGUCCCUGUCUCUCUGUAUUUUUUUCUCUCGGUCUGUCUCUGCUUCUCUCUAUCUCUGUCUCUCUCUGUAUUUUUCUCUUCCUCCGUUGGUCUGUCUCUGUCUCUGCUUCUCUGUUUCUCUGUGUCUCUGUUUCUCUCGGACUCUCUGUCUCUCUGUCUGACAGGGUCAUCAGAGCCUGAACAAGUCCUCCCGCAAUGACCUACCAGGUGGUGCCAGGCCUGUAGCAGGUACCCUGGAUCGGAUCGGCUGCUCUGCUCCACGAGGCUCCCAGCACCAUCUCAGCAGGUCGGCGCUGCCUCAGGUCUGAAAUGAUGUCUUCUCUUUCCUGUUUUCUGAGCAGCUCAUUCUGCUGCCCGUCAAAUAGGCCCUUUCCCCAGGACCCUUGGGGUCCAGCUGAGUGGAGCAGCCUCCCACACUGGAAGCCUUGAGUUUUCCCCACCUGGGCCUUUCUCUCUGUCCCUGACAUCCGGUUGGUCACCAGAUCCUGGCAGUUGAAAGUCAUUCUCAAGUCCAGCCCCACCACUGCACCUCGGUCCAUGCUCCUGGACACCAGUCUCUCACCGAGCGCUAUGCGUGGCUUGCGUCUGCGGCUGAGAAAUCCUUUCAAACGCACGCCUUCCCUAUUAUAUCCAGCAUAGGAUCUGACCCGGCAGGACCUCAGUAAAGACUUGUGGCUGCUUUAAGAGUGGGCACCUGCCGUCACAUUUUCCUCAGCAUUUUCCCUAUGCUGCUGGCGCAUUGGGUAGCUCUACUCAACCCAUGACGGAUUGCAGAUCUUUUGGCCGCUGCAUUCACAAAUUUGUCCCGAGCCGCUCCAUGGAAGGCAUCCCAGAAGCCUAUCAAUCUUCCCAUGAGUGUUCAAGAUUCCCAAAUCCCCAAAAGGCCCUAAUACCAUCUCUGUGUGAGCAGCUGCCCAUGUGUUGGGGAGUGCCCUGCCUGAGGCAGAGGGCGCACUGCAUCUGUUUGGAGGGUUGAGCAAAUACAAGAUUCCACCAGUGCUGUUGGAAGCCAGCGUUCUUGUUUUUGGAAAGGGGACAUUUUCUUUCUUUCUCUUAUUUUUUUCCCUCCCUCCCUCCCUCCCUCCCUCCCUCCCUCCCUUCCUUCCUUUCCGUCAAAGCACUUACAAUCUUCUCACAUACUAUACAAUUUACUUAUUUAUUGUGUUCCCCAUUUGGUGUCUGUCUUCCCCCCGGGGGCAGGGCUCUUUGCUGCUUCAUCCAAUAUGUGUUCACGAUCUGAGUGCCUGCAAUAGUAGGCAUGUGCUUAUCUAGUGAAUGAUGGGCAAUGGUGGUGGAGAUGCAGAUUAGGACCAGGUCAUGGGGAGUACUGGAUUACGAAAGUGAACACAUUUGGAUUUCAGCCUGUUGGAAAAUGAGAUGAUGCUGGAAGUGGUGAAGGGGCUGCAACAUGAUGAGAG